rnacentral:lncRNA from 1 species
ACCCAAGCCCUGGCAGUCAGCGAGAAGCACUGAGCGCGCCCUGCCUCGUGUCCGGGUGCGGCACUCCACGCCUCGCUCAGCUCACACCAAGUCAAUUCCAUCAGAGCCUCACUGGGACCAAGAGUCUCCUGCAAGGAGCCCAGAUGGCGUGCUCCCUGGUGCAUGGGGCCGGGAGCUCAGGGAUCACAGACAUAAACACGGCGCUGCAGCGGGAGGUGGGGCAGCCGCUGAACCAGAACCAAUGUGUGCGGCUCAGAUCUGCUGGGCAUGGCUGGCCCAUCCUGCCUCUCUUCCCCUUUCGUGGAAGUUCAAGGGAGCCUAUGCCUCAGGCGUUCACCCUCUGCCCCCAGGGUAAGGCCCCCUACUCAGAGGAGCCUGGGGGACUGCACCCUCCAGGGCUGGUCCAAGACAAGAUCCUCCUUAAAUUGGCUCCACCCCUUUUCAGGUUCUUCCCCCACGCAUCACCCCAGGUCAGUCUAUCCAGACGGAGGGAACCCGGGCUGGGACCAUGGCACGAUGCAUCUAAGAGAAGGUGAGGCCAGUGGCCAGAGCGCCCACGCCCCCAGGCAGAGCUUGCUUCCUAACAAGGGCUGCCAACGCACGGCUCGCUACGGUCAGGCGGUGCUGCACAUCCAGACAAGCAAGGAAGCAAAACAAGCAGAGUCUGAUCUCUAGAAGUAUGGUCGAGGGGAUCCUCCUGGAAGAGCAGAAAAAUCAACCCUCCGGCAGCUUCCAGAACCUUCGGCUCAUCGGCAGGCAGCUUGCCUGGCUCUGCUUCUGCCAACCCCACGUGUUACGCUGAGUAUUUCAAAGUGUUCGAACCACGUUCUUGCAGCUCAGAAACUCUGCCACCUCUUGCAGUGAACA